UUGAAAAGAGAGAGCUUGUGAAACAGGAGAUCUUGAAGGCAAAGCACAAGGGCAGGGAGAAGCUCAGCCUCGGAUAGGUGUACAUGGCCGCAGCCAGCAGGCGGGCAAGAAGAGGCUAGCAGAGACACAGCCAAAGAGCAGCGAGACCACCUCAGCUACGGAGCAGCCAGAGCGCCUGAAAAUGCGACAAGCACCAGGAUGGAUUUGUCGUGGUCAGAUGUUUUCGUCUUCCUCCGUGUUGUCUCGUCUUUAAGGAACUUAGAGAAGACCAUCCGUGCCCAAUGCUGCCAGCAUAUCUGCCGGAACACCUGGGAAAUAAAUUGUUGUUCUCAGUGUA